CCUACGGGGGGCUGCAGUAGGGAAUUUUCGGCAAUGGGGGAAACCCUGACCGAGCAACGCCGCGUGUGCGAUGAAGGUCUUCGGAUCGUAAAGCACUGUUGUAAAGGAAGAAUAGCCAUAUUAGAAAUAUGGUCUGACGGUACUUUAUCAGAAAGCCACGGCUAACUACGUGCCAGCAGCCGCGGUAAUACGUAGGUGGCGAGCGUUAUCCGGAAUUAUUGGGCGUAAAGGGUGCGUAGGCGGCAUGUUAAGUUUGUGGUGAAAGCGUGGGGCUCAACCCCAUUAAGCCACAGAUACUGGCAAGCUAGAGUGCAGAAGAGGGUAGUGGAAUUCCAUGUGUAGCGGUAAAAUGCGUAGAUAUAUGGAGGAACACCAGUGGCGAAGGCGGCUACCUGGUCUGUAACUGACGCUCAGGCACGAAAGCGUGGGGAGCAAAUAGGAUUAGAUACCCCAGUAGUC
rnacentral:rRNA from 1 species